rnacentral:rRNA from 1 species
UACGUAGGGGCCAAGCGUUGUCCGGAUUUAUUGGGCGUAAAGAGCUCGUAGGCGGUUGGGUAAGUCGGGUGUGAAAACUCCAGGCUCAACUUGGAGAUGCCACCCGAUACUGCUCUGACUUGAGUUCGGUAGGGGAGUGGGAAAUUCCUGGUGUAGCGGUGAAAUGCGCAGAUAUCAGGAGGAACACCGGUGGCGAAGGCGCCACUCUGGGCCGAAACUGACGCUGAGGAGCGAAAGCGUGGGUAGCAAACAGG